GCAAACUUGGUCAUUUAGAGGAAGUAAAAGUCGUAACAAGGUUUCCGUAGGUGAACCUGCGGAAGGAUCAUUACAAAUCAUGGCGAACCUCGUGUUUCACGAGGUUUUUGCGUCCAUUUUUUCAUAUUUAAAACAUCCCACUCUUAAAAAAUAUUUAUUUAUGAUAAAAUAAAAAAAGAUCACUUUCAACAACGGAUCUCUUGGCUCUCAGAUGUGUAUAAGAGACAGGCAAACUUGGUCAUUUAGAGGAAGUAAAAGUCGUAACAAGGUUUCCGUAGGUGAACCUGCGGAAGGAUCAUUACAAAUCAUGGCGAACCUCGUGUUUCACGAGGUUUUUGCGUCCAUUUUUUCAUAUUUAAAACAUCCCACUCUUAAAAAAUAUUUAUUUAUGAUAAAAUAAAAAAAGAUCACUUUCAACAACGGAUCUCUUGGCUCUCGCAUCGAUGAAGAACGCAGC
rnacentral:misc_RNA from 1 species